ACUACCUGCCAGCACCCGCGGUAAUACGUAGGUGGCAAGCGUUGUCCGGAUUUACUGGGCGUAACGGGAGCGUAAGUGGAUAUUUAAGUGGGAUGUGAAAUACUCGGGCUUAACCUGGGUGCUGCAUUCCAAACUGGAUAUCUAGAGUGCAGGAGAGGAAAGUAGAAUUCCUAGUGUAGCGGUGAAAUGCGUAGAGAUUAGGAAGAAUACCAUUGGCGAAGGC
rnacentral:rRNA from 1 species